AUGUCACCUGCUAAAUCUUGCAUCAUCCUUCUGAAAAAAUGUGCUCAAACUAUCGGUUAUCUACCACCAAUGGUUUCGUCUGCUUGUCGGAGAUGGUCGAGCAUCUCUCUUUUGGUAUGAUCAGUGGAUUGGUGAUUAUGCGCUCAGUUUCUUACUCCCUAAUCUUUUCAUCUUUGCCACGAAGCAAUCCUGUUCCGUUCACGAAUUCUUUCAGUAGGCAAACUUUCGAUCCUCUUUCAGAUAUCCGAUGAGCU
rnacentral:lncRNA from 1 species